GUGUCAUAAUGUGUGUGUGGAGUGAACAGUGUUCGUUUGAAUUAUUUGACAAUCAUUCAUCACUGUCGCAGAAACAAUAAUAUAUUUUGUCGAUAAAAAAAUUUCCAAAUACACCUCAUUGGUCUUUUUUGAAAUAUAGAGACAUUAUACAGAUAAAUACUUUACACUCGUUCACUCGCAUAGUCGUGAACGGCUUAAUAAGAGACCAUGCACCCCUUCUCCUAUCAGCUUCAUUUCGUAUUUAUCAACAUCUUAACUGUACGUUAGUAAUAUUAUAUGAUGACAAUAUGAUAUAAAAUGUAAUAAUAUAUGCUGUGUUAAACACGUAGAGUUAUAGAUGUUUAUUUAUGUCCAGACUGUGUAUGGAUGGACUAUAAUAUCAUAACAUCAUGAUAUAAUAAUAUUAUGUAAAUCGUGGAAAAUCUUGAUAGAAAUUGUUUAAAUUUAAUAAAGUUUUUUAUUUCCA